rnacentral:rRNA from 1 species
UACGUAGGUGGCAAGCGUUGUCCGGAUUUACUGGGCGUAAAGGGCGUGCAGGCGGUCUGUUAAGUCUAGGGUGAAAGCUCCCGGCUCAACUGGGAGAGGUCCUUGGAUACUGGCGGACUUGAGGGAGGCAGAGGAAAGUGGAAUUCCUGGUGUAGCGGUGAAAUGCGCAGAUAUCAGGAGGAACACCAGCGGCGAAGGCGGCGCUCUGGGCCGGUACUGACACUGAGGAGCGAAAGCGUGGGUAGCAAACAGG